AUCCGUGGAGAGGAAAUAUUGAACAUUAAAUCGAUGCACGGGACAACGACAGGAAAAGACAUUUUUUAAAACGUAUGUCAAAGUGUAACCGACAUGAAACGGCCCUGGGACAAACUUGUUGGAUGGAGCGCCGGUGUUGUGCGGUGAAAAAAGCGGACUAGUCAGCAGGAUGCGAGUAAAGAUGCAGGAGGAGAACUGUACUGCACCUGAGAACAUUCACAUGAUGGGGGGGAGCAACCAGUGUGCAGAGCAACCAGUGUGCAGAGCACAGCGAUGAAGACGGAGUGGAGCGAGUUUCAAGGAAGAAGAAAUAGCUUCUGACCCUCCAGGGACAGAAAAGAGUUGGAGAUAACUUCACUCAGAGAUGGACAAAGAAUACAGGACAGGAAGAGGGGAGCUUAUAUUUAAAGUUUCCGUCCUUCCAUGUGUUGUCCCUUAAUCUGAACUGGAACCAAAUGAAGCAGAGUGUAAUCACCUCCUACAAGCCAUCCUGUCACAGGAAUCCUCCUGCAAAGCCACAAGUCAGCGUCACCUCUGUUUCCUGCUUGUCCAAAGUAAAAAGUCAUGAAAAGAUCAAUUCAUACAGAAGUGAAAUGCAGUGGAAGCAGCAGGAUCAGUCAUGGACGCAUGAGUUUGUUUGUUUUGUGGAACCACAGGGGAGCCUGGAGUGACUGGAGCCCUACUGGAUCACCACCAGUAGGAAGAAUAAAAACAACCACGUGGAACAUUUUUGUAGAAUCGUUGCAAAUUUUCCAGCACACACUGGAUGUGAUCUGAGAAUGUAGUUUCUUGCAACGUGUACUCAGAUAUUUAAGCAAUACUUAUGCAAGAAUGCUGUUUGUUGACUUCAGAUCAGCAUUUACUACAGUCACCCCCUCCAAUGCUGAUUACCAAACUUGUAGAUUUUGCAACUCAGUCUGUACCUGGAUCAUGGACUUUCUGACUAACAGACCCCAGCAUGUUAGGCCAGGCCAUAACUGCUCUACCACCAUCACACUCAACACUGGCACUUCACAGGGCUGUGUGCUGAGCCUGUUCCUCUAUGACUGCAGACCUAGGGUACGGAUCCAACUCCAUCAUCAAGUCUGCAGAUGACACCACAGUAACUGUCUCAUCAGUGACAAUGAUGAGUCUGCUACAGGGAAGACGUAAAGCACCUAGCUGUGUGGUGCUGACAAUAACUUGCUCCUGAAUACCAGCAAAACCAAAGACCUCAUUGUGGACUUCGGGGGGGAGAGGAGAUACCCAUGUCCCCAUCUACAUAAAUGGCACAGCUGUUGAACGGGUCUCCAGCUUCAAGGUCUUGGGGACCCACAUCUCUGAGAAUCUGACCUGGUAAACUGAGACCUCCAGCCUGGUCAAGAAGGCCCAUCAGCUCCUCUUUUUCUUGAGGACACUGAAGAAAAACCACCUGUCUGUUGACAUACUGGUUAACUUCCACCUCAGUGUGAUGGAGAGUAGGGCUGGGCGAUAUGACCCAAAAUUCAUAUCUCGAUAUUUUUUAGCUGGAUGGCGAUAUACGAUAUAUAUCUCGAUAUUUUUUUUUUU